UACGUAGGGGGCAAGUGUUGUCCGGAAUCAUUGGGCGUAAAGCGCGUGUAGGCGGCUCGAUAAGUCUGCUGUGAAAGUCCAGGGCUCAACCCUGGGAUGCCGGUGGAUACUGUCGAGCUCGAGUCCGGAAGAGGCGAGUGGAAUUCCUGGUGUAGCGGUGAAAUGCGUAGAUAUCAGGAGGAACACCCGUGGCGAAGGCGGCUCUCUAUCUCGAUUCUGACGCUGAGGCGCGAAAGCUAGGGGAGCAAACGGG
rnacentral:rRNA from 1 species